rnacentral:tRNA from 1 species
GCCUCCGUAGCUCAACUGGUAGAGCAGCUGACUCUUAAUCAGCGGGUCGUAGGUUCAAAUCCUACCGGGGGUACCA